ensembl:lncRNA
CUGCGCCUGGUCUGGCCCAUUAUCCCUGGGCUGCAGGGGGCACUGAGAGGGAGCAGGGGGUUGGAGGCCUGGGAUGCAGGCAGUCAGGGGGCCCUUCUCAGUGAGCCGGGUCCGCGUCCUGCUGUCACCAUCCUGAAAUUCUGAAGAAUGGUGACAAAGGACCCCACAGGGUUGCCUCUGGCUCUGAGCCCUUCAGGGAGCAGCCCUGGUGGUGCUGCCCAGAUUGCUGUCUGGGAGGUCACUUCUGGGAGCAGUUCUGUGUGUGUGUGUGUGUGUGUGUGUGUGUGUGUGUGUGUGUGUGUGUGUGUGUGCUUGCCUGCAUUCCUUUGUGUGUGUGUGUGUAGGAGUGUGUGUGCUUUUGUGUGUGACUGCAUGUGUGAAUGUGUGCUACUGUGUGUGUGUGUAUUGCGUGUGCCUUUGUGCGAGUGUGUGCUUUUGUCUGUGUGACUGCUUGUGCAUGCGAGUGUGUGAUUGUGUGGCUCUGUGAGUGUGUGUUUCUGUGCCUUCAGGUGUGCAUGUGGGUGCAGCAGCGUGAGGAGCAGAGGGUUGGGGGUCAGGGGUGCUGGACUAGCAAUCAGCUUGCACAUGCCUGGAGCAGCUGGAAGUGGGGGGCGGCGUGGAGGAGGAGGCAGACACCCAAGCGGACCCUUCCUGCACCAGGGAACAUGGGCGGUGCUUUCCUGGAACCUGAAAACGUGCCCCCAGGGGCCCGGCUCAGCCCGGAAGCCUGCCACGCUUCAGUGACUGUUACUCCAAGCUCCCCCCGUGCCAGUGCCCACCUGGGGUGUGAGGGGGACCAGAUGCUCCAGGGCAGGCACUCUGGGCCAUGGGACGAAGGGACCGGGGAAUGGUCACUGCGGGAUGACCCAGGGCUGAGCGGCCAGGAGGGCAACUUGGUCAGCUGAUGGUUCCCACGGGCUGGCAUGGUUUUAGCCCUGUUGCAUGUGGCACUGGGCUGACAAGACAGGACCAUGGUGAUUCAGUGUGAUUCUGGUGCAGCAUCUCUGGCACCAGAGGGGCCUAAGGCGGAGCCUCCUGGGGCGUCCACAGGGCCCUGCCUGCCUCUCUGGGUGAGACCUGGCUGGGGGAGGCCCUGGCUGAGGAGCACUGUCUCUGGCACCGCCUCGGAGAGGAAAGGACAGUGCCUGUUUCUCUCCUGGCAGCUGUCACCGGCCCCUCGGAAGAUAUCCCAAUGCGGUUUUGCUCAAAUAUGGGUCGAGAUGCACCAGCGUGUGGACACCUUCCUGCAAAAUCUCUUUGAGGACAACAUGCAGGUGGCUGGGCAUCACCCACUCCUGUCCCCUCCUGGCUGGGGCAAGGACGGACUCAGUGAGGAGCUGCUUGGAGCUUUCGAUACUCAGCUGGAGAACGACGACGACUCGGUGGAGUUAGCCCUGAUGAAGCUGGAGGACGGACUCAGUGAGGACCUGCUUGGAGCUUUCGAUGCUCAGCUGGAGAACGACGACUCGGUGAGUUUGAGCUGCUGUCUCAGACCCUCCCCCCUCCCCAUUGUGUUGGUGCUGCCACGUGCGGACAGAGCUCCCCUGCGUCCUGGAGCCCUGCCCUCAAUUCCAUGACGCUGCACCCAGGCGGGCCUGCUGCUGGGCUCGGAGGUCAGGUGGGCGACAGGCAGGUAUACCCCACCUUCGUGGUUUAUGACUUGGAGGGGAACUGAGCGGCCAGGCCCAGCCCCUGGGAAAAGUCCUGGGGUCUGUGGGGCUGUUGGCAGGAAAGCAGCCUGUGUCCAAGGCGGGGCAUGAGGGGGGUGUCUGCCACCAGGACUCUCCCAAAGGCAGGGCCUCAGCCAAGGUCAGGACUGGGGCUGCCUCUCCCCAGGCGGGUCCCUGAACCACCCCCCAUCCCUGCAGAAUCCAGUCCUCUGCUCAACGAAGUCCGGCAGGGAGUCCGUUCUAGAGUCCGAAGGCCUCCUGGCCACAACCAGCCACAUUAUGCGCUAGCGGUCCGGGAGCCCAGGCAGAGCACUUUCAGACGCAUCCUUGAGCUGUUUGAGGAAAUGCUGAAGCGCCUGCAGCAGAGGUGGAGGGGUGCCCUGGCUUGGGUGCAGGAAAGGGCUGCUGCCUGCUUCCGGGGCUUGUGCAGGGCCCUUGAAGCUUUCUGGAGCCUGGUGCAGAGUUUUUGCUCCUCCAUGGGGCACGCCUUCGGGAGUGUCAUCCAGGUCUAAGGUGCUCCAGGUGAAAUAAGAGUUUCUAGAGCACAACCUCCCCCUGCCUUGGCUAAAAAGGCAGCUGUAAGCCUUUCCAGCUGUGCUCACCUCAUACCACCCUUCUUGUAAUAAUGUAGCAGCUGGGGAGUUCCCGUCGUGGCGCAGUGGUUAACGAAUCCGACUAGGAACCGUGAGGUUGCAGGUUCGGUCCCUGCCCUUGCUCAGUGGGUUAACGAUCCGGCGUUGCUGUGAGCUGUGGUGUAAGUUGCAGACGUGGCUCGGAUCCCGCGUUGCUGUGUCUCUGGAGUAGGCCGGUGGCUACAGCUCCGAUUCAACCCCUAGCCUGGGAACCUCCACAUGCCGCGGGAGAGGCCCAAGAAAUAGCAACAACAACAACAAAGACAAAAGACAAAAAAAAAAAAAAAAAAAAGUAGCAGCUGGGUGCCCUCUGCCCAAGCCAGCAGCCCUGCUAAUGGUGUACCCAGCAUUUCUUAUCCGUUCCGCUUCUGUCACCUCACUUGCUCAGACAGGGAGGAAUACUGUGCUGGGGGAAGGGGGAAGGUCCGGGAUGCUUACCUGGAAAGAUAAGACCUUGACAUGUGUAAAAGCUGCCGAGAACAAAGACCUGGUACUCAGACUCUGGAGGUGGCUCCUCCGAGCCUGCACCGGUGCUGAAUAAAGCUUGCCUUUCCAUAUCUCCGAGUGCCGUU